rnacentral:rRNA from 1 species
AAGACGACGAGGUAGAUAGGGCAGAGGUGGAAGUGCGGUAACGUAUGGAGCUGACUGUCACUAAUAGGUCGAGGGCUUAACCAA